CCUUUGGUGAUCUGAUGGCUAGGAUUCCCGGCUUUCAUCCAGGCUACCCAGGUUCGAUUCCUGGACAGGGAU
rnacentral:tRNA from 1 species